GAUGAAGGACGUAGUGAAAUGCGAUAAGUAAUGUGAAUUGCAGAAUUCAGUGAAUCAUCGAAUCUUUGAACGCACCUUGCGCCCUUUGGCUAUUCUGAAGGGCAUGCCUGUUUGAGUAUCAUGAACACCUCAACUCUCAUGGUUUGCCAUGAUGAGCUUGGACUUUGGGGGUCUUGCUGGCCUACGGUCAGCUCCUCUCAAAUGAAUCAGCUUGCCAGUGUUUGGUAGAGUCGCAGGUGUGAUAACUAUCUACGCUUGUGGUUUUCUGCCAGAUAACCUUCAGUGAUGGAGGUUCGCUGGAGCUUAUAAAUGUCUCUCCCCAGUGAGGACAGCUUUUUGAACGUUUGAUCUCAAAUCAGGUAGGACUACCCGCUGAACUUAAGCAUAUCAAUAAGCGGAGGA
rnacentral:misc_RNA from 1 species